GUGCUCGCUUUGGCAGCACAUAUACUAAAAUUGGAAUGAUACAGAGAAGAUUAGCAUGGCCCCUGCCGAAGGAGGACAGGCAAAUUCGUGAAGCGUUCUCAAUUUGA
rnacentral:snRNA from 1 species